CCUACGGGUGGCAGCAGUGAGGAAUAUUGCACAAUGGACGCAACCCUGAUCCAGCCAUGCCGCGUGAGUGAAGAAGUCUUUCUGUGUGUAAAGCUCUAUCAGCAGGGAAGUAAAUGCCGGUACCUGACUAAGAAGCCCCGGCUAACAACGUGCCAGCAGCCGCGAGAAUACGUAGGGGGCAAGCGUUAUCCGGAUUUACUGGGUGUAAUGGGAGCGUAGGCGGAAAGGUAAGUUAGAAGUGAAAGCCCGCGGCUCAACUGCGGGACUGCUUUUGGAACUAUCCAGCGAGAUUGCAGUAGAGGUAAGUGGAAUGCAUAGUGUAGCGGUGAAAUGCGUAGAGAUUAUGCGGAACACCAGUGGCGAAGGCGGCUCACUGGACUGUAAAUGACGCUGAGGCUCGAAAGCGUGGGGAGCAAACAGGAUUAGAUACCCCUGUAGUC
rnacentral:rRNA from 1 species